CUUUGGCAGCACAGAUACAAUAAAAUUAGAACAAUGCAGAGAUUAGCCUGGGCCCCGUGCAAGGAUGAUGCAAAUGUGGGAGAUUCUAAUUUCUU
rnacentral:snRNA from 1 species